UGCCACCCUUUUGAAGCAGUAACUGCUUCACCUAGCUGCUGUCAUCAGAAAGGACAUUUUUCCUUGAUGGUUACUGUUCUGUUUGCUAUAAUCUGUAAUAGUGCAGGAGCAGACAAUU
ensembl:snoRNA